CCUACGGGGGCUGCAGUGGGGAAUAUUGGACAAUGGGGGCAACCCUGAUCCAGCCAUGCCGCGUGUGUGAAGAAGGCCCUCGGGUUGUAAAGCACUUUCAGUGAGGAAGAACGCCUGGUGGUUAAUACCCAUCAGGAAAGACAUCACUCACAGAAGAAGCACCGGCUAACUCCGUGCCAGCAGCCGCGGUAAUACGGAGGGUGCGAGCGUUAAUCGGAAUUACUGGGCGUAAAGCGCGCGUAGGUGGCUUGAUAAGCCGGUUGUGAAAGCCCCGGGCUCAACCUGGGAACGGCAUCCGGAACUGUCAAGCUAGAGUGCAGGAGAGGAAGGUAGAAUUCCCGGUGUAGCGGUGAAAUGCGUAGAGAUCGGGAGGAAUACCAGUGGCGAAGGCGGCCUUCUGGACUGACACUGACACUGAGGUGCGAAAGCGUGGGUAGCUAACAGGAUUAGAUACCCUAGUAGUC
rnacentral:rRNA from 1 species